GGAAUGUAUUUUUAUACAAAGAGCUGAGGCUCUGUAGAUUACUACAGAUUUGGAAAAGAUGGAGAUUCUAUGGUUAGGUCAACCUUAAUCGAGAGGAAUUGACUUGCGCUUAAAUUUCGGGACGAAAUUUCUUUAAGGAGGGUAGAUUGUAAUACCCGAAAAAUUCAAAUUAACGUCCGAUGUCAUUUUGGAAAUGAUUUCGUAGGCGUGGGCACGAAUACGAAGCUUGAAGGAGUUGUGGAAUUAGUUCGAACGAUUUUAUUUCGAAAACGAACGUUAUUUAGGGGGUCUUAAAAAGUGACUUCUUAUACGUACAGAAUUUGGGAAAACUUUCUUCAUGAAAGUUGUAGAGCUCGUCGAUACGAUCUCGUGCGUAUGUUGAACGCAAUAUUCGGAGUUUGUAUGAAUAAGUUAUGAAUAUUUGAAAAUCGGGAUUUUUUUUCUAUAAAUAUGGAGAAUUUCUGGAAUUUUUCUUAAAUCCCAAAAUUUCCUAUUCUUUCUAUUUUCUCCCCCGGUUUUCUCUCUUCUCUCUCCUCUCCCCCGACCUUUUUCUCUUCUUUCUGGGCGUUCUUCCUCUGCCAGCAGCGCCACCGUCCGGCCACCUCAAGCCGCUCUCGAGGUGUCCACGGCUUCGCCUCGACGUCGUCUAGCUACUGGACGUGACCACUUUCCCCGGAACGGCCUCAAAUCCGGCAAACCGGAGCUGCAAGGUUUGAGCCAAAAACAGUCAACGCCGGUUUUCUCCUAAUUCCGGCCACCAAAACUCACGAUCCUUAGCUCCCUGAACUCACCUCAACAUGCUGAUCAUCAUCCUAGAAGGAUCGCACCUGGAGUGACCGGAUUCACGUUCGUCGGAGCUCGGCCGGCUUUAAUUCGAAAACCACCUUCGAAUCCGAUUUUCUCGAGUUAUAGACCACCUUUUCUUGUGAUUCUUGGCCUGGUGAGUUCACCUUGAGAUUAUUAACAACUCUCAAGAAGGGAUCGAGGCCUGAGGUUGAAGUUUUUACGUCGGAAUUCAAGCUCGCCGGAUUCUGGAAAAUUUCCGACCACGAAGACUUUCGAUCAAGAUAUCGCGAGCUGUAGUGCAUCGUUUUGAUUGAUUCUUUUUCCAGUGGGUUCCCCUUGAUGUUGUUAACAACUCUCUAGAAGGCAUCGAGGCCUGAAAUUGAAUCUUUGACGUCGAAAUCGAGCCUUGCCGGAUUCUGCAAAAUUCUGGAAUUUUUCCGACCACCGAAGCUUUCGAUCGGUAUAUCUCGAGCUACAGACCAUAUUUUUCUGUGAUUCUUGAACCAGUGAGUUCUUCUUGAGUUUCUUAACAACUCUUCAGAAGGAAUCGAAGCCUUAAAUUGACGUUUUUACGUCGAAUUGGAGCUCGCCGUUUUCUGCAGUUUCUCGCCGGUUUCUGGAAAAUUCCGGCCACCUUCAUACUGUUCAAGGUGAUUGACGGUUUGAGUUGGCGGACGAUUGUGAAUCGUAUUUUGAGCUGUUAAGAAGACGCAGCGGGAUUAGAGCGGGUAAUCCUACAGGUCAGGAGAACCAGGACGGUGAUCGGGCUGCUUAGAGUAGUGUUAUGUGAAUUACAGCAUUAUAUUGUGAGGUUUGUUAUGCUCAUUUAGAGCUUUACGAUUUUACUUUGUAAGAGUGAAUUGUAAUAAUUAACUCGAGGUUUUUCGAGUUUUGUGUUGA